GCUGUACAGCACUAACCAUCUGACAUGACAGGAGCAUGCCAGUAGCAGGCAGCUCCAGGCAUCUCCCCUGGCUCCAGCGCUCUCUGCCAUGACCCCCAGGAGCCCUCCAUCCUGCUCCGCAUGGCCUCAUCCCUCCCAGCUCGGCCUGGGAAGGAUGCUCAGCGAUGGCUGGAGCAGCUGGCCAGAUCUUGCUUUUAUUGCAGACCCAGCACUGGAAACUGGAGAAACUGGACAUCCUCACCCCUUUUCUCACCUUCUUGGGGACCAUCCUGUGGAACUCUAGCUGCUGUGUGUCAGCCAGCUGAAGGCCAAGCUGGACGGCCAGUAGCAUCCCAGUGGAUGGACGGUGAAGCCCCUAUGCAUCUGGUUGGACCUCAUCUUGACCUUCUGGCCAGGGCAUCCUGUGGUGAUGGGCCCCAGACACAUAUUCCCUAUGAGGUAGGUGAAAAGGCUGUUGUUUACCCUUCUUUCUCCUUUUUUGUUCCCCCAUCAACUCCCUGCCUCAGUUUCCCCUUCUGGGCAUGGUGCCGGCCCCCAGGCAGCUUGGGGGCUGGGUUGGAGGAGAGUCAGGCUUGAGGCUCUCCAGCCAGCAGGAUUUGAGCCAAAGAUGCCAGUCAAAGCACAGCUCCAGAGUGGGGCUCCCUGCUUUGUCUCCUGGCAGGUUGUACUACAGGCAGGGCUGUUGUAUGGGAGAAGAUAGAGCUGAUGCAGUGUAACAGCAUAAAAACCAGCUGGGGAAAGAGGCUUGCUCUAGAGCUGUUGUGGGUGGAGAGUCUGCACUCUCCCGGGUGAGUAUAGGAUGAGGGCUGUCCUGCCAAGUGCCGGUUGGAGUGGAACCGGGAGAGGGACCAGGAUGAGGACCAGGGCUUGGAUGGGGAUGAUUAGGGCAGCCGGGGCAGCAGUUGGUGGCAAUGCUGGGGAGGCUGGAACGAGGACGGUCCCCCAGAAGCAGGACCAUCUGCUUUGCUGUGGAGCUGGGCCAGGUGAGCCAAGACGCUCAAAAUGCCCUGUGGGGUGAUAACGCAAGACUAGGGGCUUUGGAAAAAUGAGGGAAUUCAUUUAAAAAAAUAAAAAACCCUGAAUUGCCUCCA
rnacentral:lncRNA from 1 species